AAAUAGCCCCGAUGGAAGUGGAAAUCCCCGAUUUAGAAAACAAGGCUUUUUUGCCGCAGUUUUCUAAAUCGGGAAUUGAAACGGACAGCGGGAGAAAUC
rnacentral:sRNA from 1 species